UAUAAACAAGUUAAAAGCCGCGGGUAUCGGUUUUUAUUAAACUGUAAAGACCUCGGGCCUUCGGCCCUCGGUCUUCACAGUUUAAUAAAAACCUCUCCCUUGGCUUUUAACCUAUAUAUA